CACGGCCCAAACUCCUACGGGAGGCAGCAGUAGGGAAUCUUCCACAAUGGACGAAAGUCUGAUGGAGCAACGCCGCGUGAGUGAAGAAGGGUUUCGGCUCGUAAAACUCUGUUGUUAAAGAAGAACAUAUCUGAGAGUAACUGUUCAGGUAUUGACGGUAUUUAACCAGAAAGCCACGGCUAACUACGUGCCAGCAGCCGCGGUAAUACGUAGGUGGCAAGCGUUGUCCGGAUUUAUUGGGCGUAAAGCGAGCGCAGGCGGUUUUUUAAGUCUGAUGUGAAAGCCUUCGGCUCAACCGAAGAAGUGCAUCGGAAACUGGGAAACUUGAGUGCAGAAGAGGACAGUGGAACUCCAUGUGUAGCGGUGAAAUGCGUAGAUAUAUGGAAGAACACCAGUGGCGAAGGCGGCUGUCUGGUCUGUAACUGACGCUGAGGCUCGAAAGUAUGGGUAGCAAACAGGAUUAGAUACCCUGGUAGUCCAUACCGUAAACGAUGAAUGCUAAGUGUUGGAGGGUUUCCGCCCUUCAGUGCUGCAGCUAACGCAUUAAGCAUUCCGCCUGGGGAGUACGGCCGCAAGGCUGAAACUCAAAGGAAUUGACGGGGGCCCGCACAAGCGGUGGAGCAUGUGGUUUAAUUCGAAGCUACGCGAAGAACCUUACCAGGUCUUGACAUACUAUGCAAAUCUAAGAGAUUAGACGUUCCCUUCGGGGACAUGGAUACAGGUGGUGCAUGGUUGUCGUCAGCUCGUGUCGUGAGAUGUUGGGUUAAGUCCCGCAACGAGCGCAACCCUUAUUAUCAGUUGCCAGCAUUAAGUUGGGCACUCUGGUGAGACUGCCGGUGACAAACCGGAGGAAGGUGGGGAUGACGUCAAAUCAUCAUGCCCCUUAUGACCUGGGCUAC
rnacentral:rRNA from 1 species